rnacentral:rRNA from 1 species
GAGUUUGAUCAUGGCUCAGGACGAACGCUGGCGGCACGCCUAACACAUGCAAGUCGAACGGAGAUAUUUUGGUUUACUGAGAUAUCUUAGUGGCGGACGGGUGAGUAACACGUGAGCAACCUGCCUCUGAGAGAGGGAUAGCUUCUGGAAACGGAUGGUAAUACCUCAUAACAUAACGAAGCCGCAUGACUUUGUUAUCAAAGAUUUAUCACUCAGAGAUGGGCUCGCGUCUGAUUAGAUAGUUGGUGAGGUAACGGCUCACCAAGUCGACGAUCAGUAGCCGGACUGAGAGGUUGAACGGCCACAUUGGGGCUGAGACACGGCCCAGACUCCUACGGGAGGCAGCAGUGGGGAAUAUUGCACAAUGGGGGAAACCCUGAUGCAGCGAUGCCGCGUGGAGGAAGAAGGUUUUCGGAUUGUAAACUCCUGUCUUAAAGGACGAUAAUGACGGUACUUAGGAGGAAGCUCCGGCUAACUACGUGCCAGCAGCCGCGGUAAUACKUAKGGAGCGAGCGUUGUCCGGAAUUACUGGGUGUAAAGGGAGCGUAGGYKGGGAUGGCAAGUCAGAUGUGAAAACUAU